rnacentral:rRNA from 1 species
AUUGAACGCUGACGGCAUGCCUUACACAUGCAAGUCGAACGGCAGCGGACCUUCGGGUGCCGGCGAGUGGCGAACGGGUGAGUAAUAUAUCGGAACGUACCUUUCAGUGGGGGAUAACGUAGCGAAAGUUACGCUAAUACCGCAUAUUCUGUGAGCAGGAAAGCAGGGGAUCGCAAGACCUUGCGCUGAUUGAGCGGCCGAUAUCAGAUUAGCUAGUUGGUGAGGUAAAGGCUCACCAAGGCGACGAUCUGUAGCGGGUCUGAGAGGAUGAUCCGCCACACUGGAACUGAGACACGGUCCAGACUCCUACGGGAGGCAGCAGUGGGGAAUUUUGGACAAUGGGCGCAAGCCUGAUCCAGCCAUGCCGCGUGAGUGAAGAAGGCCUCGGUU